GGGAGUGGUUAAGGGUCCACUCUGCAAGUUGGGAGUCCCCUGCCCUCACCCUCCCUGGCCCCAGCUUAGAAGUGAUACACAGUAGAAGGAUUUGGGUGCGGCGCUGGGGAGUAAUGGGGGUACAAAGAGGGCACUGGGGUGAGGCUGCCCAACCCUGAGCACUGGAGAUCAGGGGACAGGCAGCACAGCUGACUCUCUGAUGACCUUUUCCCUACAUUCAGCUAUUUUUAGCUCUAAUGCUACCAUCCUCACGUGAGACCCUUUGGGCCCCCCCCCCCCAGGUUCCCAGACCUCUGAACAAUCUCAGCUUGCAGAAAUCCGGCCCGCCCCCACUCCUGAUUCCCACCACAGAGAGGACGGGAUUCUGGUUGCCGCCCCACAUCUGUUUUCUCAACCCAAAUUUGGGAGUGGGUGUCAGGUUCCCGGUGAGGGCGGGGCGGGGAUGGCCAGGCCUGAAGGACAUGGGGACACGGGCCAGAGCGACUGGCCCCACACGCGGACAGGAGCGAACCCAAGCCGUGACGGCCAACCUCCAGGAUGGCGGAAGCGCACCAGGCUGUGGCCUUCCAGUUCACGGUGACCCCAGAUGGGGUCGACUUCCGGCUCAGUCGGGAGGCCCUGAAACACAUCUACCUGUCCGGGAUCAACUCCUGGAAGAAACGCCUGAUUCGCAUCAAGAAUGGCAUCCUUAGGGGUGUGUACCCUGGCAGCCCCACCAGCUGGCUGGUCGUCGUCAUGGCAACAGUGGGUUCUUCCUACUGCAAGAUGGACAUCUCCAUGGGGCUGGUCUGCUAUAUCCAGAAAUGCCUCCCUGAGGGAUGUGGCCCCUACUGGACCCCACAGACCCGGGCACUUCUCAGCAUGGCCAUCUUCUCCACGGGGGUCUGGAUGAUGGGCAUCUUCUUCUUCCGCCAAACCCUGAAACUGCUUCUUUCCUACCAUGGUUGGAUGUUUGAGAUGCAUGGCCGGACCAGCCACUUCACCAAAGUCUGGGCUAUCUGUGUCCGCCUCCUGUCCAGCCGGCGGCCCAUGCUCUACAGCUUCCAGACAUCCCUGCCCAAGCUUCCCGUGCCCAGCGUGCCAGCCACAAUUCAGCGGUACCUGGAAUCUGUGCGGCCCUUGAUGGAUGAUGAGGAAUACUACCGAAUGAAGACACUGGCCAAGGAAUUCCAGGACAAGACUGCCCCCAGGCUGCAGAAGUACCUGGUCCUCAAGUCAUGGUGGGCAACUAACUAUGUGAGUGACUGGUGGGAAGAGUACGUGUACCUGCGGAGCAGGGCGCCCCUCAUGGUGAACAGCAACUACUACGUCAUGGAAUUUGUGCUCAUCAAGAAUACAAAUAUACAGGCAGCCCGCCUGGGAAACAUCGUCCACGCUAUGAUCAUGUAUCGCCGUAAACUGGACCGUGAAGAGAUCAAGCCUGUGAUGGCCCUGGGUAUUGUACCCAUGUGCUCCUACCAGAUGGAGAGGAUGUUCAACACUACUCGGAUCCCAGGCAAGGAGUCAGACCUGCUGCAGCACCUCUCCGACAGCAGGCACGUGGCUGUCUACCACAAGGGCCGCUUCUUCAAGGUGUGGCUCUACGAGGGUUCCCAGCUGCUCAAGCCUUGUGACCUGGAGAUGCAGUUCCAGAGGAUCCUGGACGACCCCUCCCCACCUCAGCCUGGGGAGGAGAAGCUGGCUGCCCUCACUGCAGGGGGAAGAGUGGAGUGGGCACAGGCACGCCAGGCCUUCUUCAGCUCUGGCAAGAACAAGGCUGCUCUGGAUGCCAUCGAGCGUGCUGCUUUCUUCGUGGCCCUGGACGAGGAGUCUCACCACUACGACCCCGAAGACGAGGCCAGCCUCAGCCUCUACGGCAAGGCCCUGCUGCACGGCAACUGCUACAACAGGUGGUUCGACAAGUCUUUCACUGUCAUCGCCUUCAAGAAUGGACAGCUGGGCCUCAACACAGAACACGCGUGGGCAGACGCCCCUAUCAUAGGGCACCUCUGGGAGUUUGUCCUGGGCACUGAAACCUUCCACCUGGGCUACACGGAGACCGGGCACUGCCUGGGCAAACCGAACCCCAUGCUUGCAGCUCCCCAGCGGCUGCAGUGGGACAUUCCUGAGCAGUGCCGGACAGUCAUUGAGAGCUCCUACCAGGUGGCCACGGCACUGGCAGACGACGUGGAGCUGUACUGCUUCCAGUUCUUGCCGUUUGGCAAAGGCCUCAUCAAGAAGUGUCGGACCAGCCCGGACGCCUUCGUGCAGAUUGCCCUGCAGCUGGCCCACUUCCGGGACAGGGGCAAGUUCUGCUUGACCUACGAAGCCUCCAUGACCAGGAUGUUCCGGGAGGGACGGACUGAGACCGUGCGUUCCUGUACCAGCGAGUCCACGGCCUUUGUUCAGGCCAUGGUGGAGGGGUCCCACAUGAAAGCAGACCUCCAAGAUCUCUUCCGGAAGGCUUCAAAGAAACACCAGAACAUGUACCGUCUGGCCAUGACGGGGGCUGGGAUAGACAGGCACCUCUUCUGCCUUUACCUGGUCUCCAAGUACCUGGGGGUCAGCUCCCCCUUCCUGGCUGAGGUGCUCUCAGAACCCUGGCGCCUCUCCACCAGCCAGAUUGCUCAAUUCCAGAUCCGUAUGUUCGAGCCAGACAAGUACCCCAAUCACCUGGCUGCCGGUGGUGGCUUUGGCCCGGUGGCAGAUGAUGGCUAUGGGGUUUCCUACAUGAUCGCGGGCGAGAACACCAUCUUCUUCCACAUCUCCAGCAAGUUCUCAAGCUCAGAGACACACGACCACCACCAGGCGGUCCGCAUCCCCAACAUCACUCAGCCAAACAGCCUGCUCGCCUCCCCUGCAGCAGCCGCAGAGACCCCGUCACCUCGCUCCCCGGCUUCCCGCCCUCCCAAGGUGCCCGGAGCCCUCUGGAGACUGAGCGCCUGCACCGGCCCGCGGAGGCACGCGCCGUCUCUCCGGUGUCCUCUGGGCCACCGCGGUGCGUGCAGCCCCCCUCGGGGAUUUGCGCUUCUGCUGCCUGCAGGCCGGCGCGCCCGGGGACUCCUCGCAGCCCCAGGUACUCCGGUCCCUGCCCCACCUCCCGGAGCUUCAGCUUCCUGCCCUGUGACACAGAUGUAACAGCGUCCGCCAGCCCGUCGUCGUCGAGACGGAGAACAUCUGGGCACUGAGCCAACUGAACGAAUGCUGACUGACUAGCCCCUGCUGGCCGAGUGCUGUCCGGGACACCGCGGACACAGUGGUCAGGAGGACAGGGCCCUGCGUGCAUGGCCUUGCCCUCACGAACCACGGAGAGGAACACAACGAUCAGGUCCACGCGCGGACCUCCCUUCACUUCGGCUCUCCCGCCGCCUCAGCCAGGGCUCAGUCAGGAGAGGCCAGCCCGGGCGACCCCACCCCUUGCGCUCUGGAGGCCAGCCAAUGAGACCUCGAGGCCGAGACUCUGGACCAGCCAGAGGGCGGCACGCUCACGUGUUUGCGGCCCAGCCCCUUCCGCUCCGGGAGACUGGCCAAUGAGGGCCAGAAGCCAUCUCCGGGGGCCGGGUCUGCUAACGGAAAGGGGCGGGGUGCUGCGCCCAGCUCCCGCCGCGUGCCGCCCGCCACACAGCUGGGCCGCGGAUCCCCACGCGAGCGCAGGCCGCGCCGGAGUUCUUAUUUCCAGGGGGAUCCCAGCCUCUACCAAACUCUUCAGACCAGGCAAGACCCUGAGACUACAACCAGGACUCCAGGCCCUUGAGCUUUGCACACCUCUGGAGUCUCCAUUCCCCAGGACCCCUGUGACUUCAAGCUCUUCACAUCCAGUCUCCUUAAGCCCAUCCUCUCCCACUCCCACACUCCCUCUGCUCACCUAACCCCAUUAGUCUGCUGUUAUCUCAUUUCCUUGGGCUUGGGCACUGGUCUAGCCCUCCUUUCCAUCCUAGUCUUGCUCACCUGCAACAACCUUAUCAGGAAGAAAAGACAUGGUCUCCCUCUGCCCCAGCUCAUACCCUUUCCGUGGAUCUGCCCAUCCCUCCUCUGAGAUCCAACAUCACUCUGGUCACAACGUCCAUUCCCAGUCCACCUGCCCCUCUUAAUCCACUCUCUUACCUGUGCCCUCACCUUGUCUGUCCACCACACACGUUUCAAAAUCCCAAGCCAGCUACACUCCAUACCUUUUCUUUGUGCUGCUCUAGAGUCCUGAGGGUCCUGUGCAGCCGUGUGGCCCCAGCCACACAACCACUGCUUCUCUGCUGCAUAUCCAAGUGUCUCUAGUGAGGCACAUAGCUUUGCCAAACCUGUAUCAUUCUCCUGAAACCAAGAAUGUCAGUUAGGGUAAGAAUAUGUUCAUUGCUAUUUGUGGAUGAGCUAGAGACCUCAGGCCUGAACCUGGACCACCUGGACCCUUACCUACCUUACCCUUCUCUUCCCUUCAUAGGGUAAGGUGACCUUUUUCCUGUCUGAAACCAGCCCGUGCACCAUUGUUACCCUUUCUCCUGAUUUCAGCCUUCUCUGUUCAACUAGUUCUUUCCGUAUAAACCUAAAGACAGGCAAGUCUCUGCCUUUGUAAAUUAAAAGAGAGAAAACCUUCUCUCUAUCAUCUUGUCACCAUCUCUUGUUUCUCCAGCCUGUCUCAACUGAAUCUGCAUGCUUGUCUAUUUUGUUUAAUGCUCCAUUAAUUCUUUAUUCAUGGAAAUCUUGUUGUCAUUGUUACUGUUAUUCAGCUACUCACUGAGACCUGACACCCAAAUAAAAUGUCCUAAAUUCAUUGGGCCCUUCUGUAAUAUUUGACAUUGGUGUAAUGUCUCCCAAUUUAAAAACAAAAGACACCUGUAACUCCACAUUACAUUCCAACUACUGGCCCUUUCUCUGCUUCUCUUUGAACCAGAACACACAAGUUUUGCUUCUCUUCCCUUCUCUUUAAACACAUUGCAGUCAGGCUUUUGUCCCUGCAAUCCCAUGAAAACAGCUUCUGUCAGGUUUGCAAGUGACCUUCAGAUUGUCGAAUCCAUGUCGAAUCCACUUUUUAUUCCUUAUGCUACUUUAUAUGAGACACAAUUGAUCACUCUUUGUUCACUUUCUUCGCUUGGCUUCCAAGACUUGGCUUCCACUGAUCUCUCCUGGUUCUUCUAGCUCACUGGCUGCUGCCUUUCAGUCGCCUUUGCUGGUUCCUCUUCCCAAAUUCUACACAUUGGAGAGCUCAGAUCUCCCUUCCAUCCACCCUCACUUCCCAGGAGAUCUCAGCUAGUCCCAUGGCUUUAAAUGUCAUCUGUACCCCAGUGACUCCCCAGUACAGAUGUUCAGCCAGGCUUUUCACCACACAGCAGAUUUAUAUUUCUACUUGAAUGUCAGCACAUACUGUUGGCUCCAUGUUUCCAACAUAUUUAGAAUCCAGUCACUUCUCACUACUGCCACUUCUAACACUCUGGUCCAAGUCCUGUCAUCCCUUACCUGGAGUUUUGCAGCAGCCUCCUCUCUGCUCCAUCAUCCCCAUCCCAGUCUGCUCUCAACAUUGCAGCCAGAGUGAUCCUUUGAUUUAUUUGUUUGUUUUAGAGAGAGACAGCACAUGUGCGUAAGCCGGGCUGGUGGGCAGAGGGAGAGAGAGAAUCAUAAGCAGACCCCACACCCAGUGUGGAGCCUGACCCGGGGCUUGGUCCCACAACCCUGAGA